rnacentral:rRNA from 1 species
UCGAGCGGACAGAUGGGAGCUUGCUCCCUGAUGUUAGCGGCGGACGGGUGAKUAACACGUGGGUAACCUGCCUGUAAGACUGGGAUAACUCCGGGAAACCGGGGCUAAUACCGGAUGSUUGUUUGAACCGCAUGGUUCAGACAUAAAAGGUGGCUUCGCUACCACUUACAGAUGGACCCGCGGCGCAUUAGCUAGUUGGUGAGGUAACGGCUCACCAAGGCRACGAUGCGUAGCCGACCUGAGAGGGUGAUCGGCCACACUGGGACUAGACACGGCCCAGACUCCUACGGGAGGCAGCAGUAGGGAAUCUUCGCAAUGGACGAAAGUCUGACGGAGCAACGCCGCGUGGUGAUGAAGGUUUUCGGAUCGUAAAGCUCUGUUGUUAGGGAAGAACAAGUGCCGUUCAAAUAGGGGGCACCUUGACGGUACCUAACCAGAAAGCCACGGCUAACUACGUGCCAGCAGCCGCGGUAAUACGUAGGUGGCAAGCGUUGUCCGGAAUUAUUGGGCGUAAAGGGCUCGCAGGCGGUUUCUUAAGUCUGAUGGAAAGCCCCCGGCUCAACCGGGGAGGGUCAUUGGAAACUGGGGAACUUGAGUGCAGAAGAGAGAGUGGAAUUCCACGUGUAGCGGUGAAAUGCGUAKAGAUGUGGAGGA